GAUGUGUUUUAAGGCAGCGGGUGACUCGUGGCACGAGUUGGUGAGUUCCGAGAUACUUAAUAGGUCUCGACGGCAUCCCGGUGUGAUUUUGGGAUUUCUGGCAAGUUACGGUAAUCGGUUUUGGGAAACCGAUUCCAUGGAAAAUGUGUAGGGUUUGUGAGUUGUGUAUUGUGGAUUAGUGGGUUGGACACUGACAUGGUGUACCCUCCGUAGGUCCGGUUGUUGAUCUUGUACAGU
rnacentral:lncRNA from 1 species